GAUGAACGCUGGCGGCGUGCCUAAUACAUGCAAGUCGAGCGAACAGACGAGGAGCUUGCUCCUCUGACGUUAGCGGCGGACGGGUGAGUAACACGUGGAUAACCUACCUAUAAGACUGGGAUAACUUCGGGAAACCGGAGCUAAUACCGGAUAACAUGUUGAACCGCAUGGUUCAACAGUGAAAGACGGUCUUGCUGUCACUUAUAGAUGGAUCCGCGCCGCAUUAGCUAGUUGGUAAGGUAACGGCUUACCAAGGCAACGAUGCGUAGCCGACCUGAGAGGGUGAUCGGCCGCACUGGAACUGAGACACGGUCCAGACUCCUACGGGAGGCAGCAGUAGGGAAUCUUCCGCAAUGGGCGAAAGCCUGACGGAGCAACGCCGCGUGAGUGAAGAAGGUCUUCGGAUCGUAAAACUCUGUUAUUAGGGAAGAACAAAUGUGUAAGUAACUAUGCACGUCUUGACGGUACCUAAUCAGAAAGCCACGGCUAACUACGUG
rnacentral:rRNA from 1 species